rnacentral:rRNA from 1 species
UAGGGAAUCUUCCACAAUGGACGCAAGUCUGAUGGAGCAACGCCGCGUGAGUGAAGAAGGGUUUCGGCUCGUAAAGCUCUGUUGUUAAAGAAGAACGUGGGUAAGAGUAACUGUUUACCCAGUGACGGUAUUUAACCAGAAAGUCACGGCUAACUACGUGCCAG